rnacentral:rRNA from 1 species
AUGGAUGAAGGAAAAGAGGCCAGCAAUGCUGAGCUAAACAAUUCAGGGAGGUAUUGGAUUGGCCUCUGUAGAAACUAUGCACCUAAUCUUGGGCCCCUAGAAGAAGGAAACUCAACAUGUGUGGUUCUCAUUAGAGGCAACCAGACCGUUGUUGAAAAUAUUGAUGAUUCCUGUUGUGUAUUCUCAAGGAAUGGACCGUUGCGGUGCGUAGAAGAAAGGUGCCACUUUCACUUAGUUCUCUCAGUUCUAAGUUGGGACUGCAAAAAUUUGAGGAUUUCCCCACAUGUGAGUUGCCUUGAUUAG